UUUUGCUACAAGGGACCACAUACAACAAAGCCUUCUAAGGCCAUUUCUCAUCUCUUUUUCCAUUCAAGACUGAAAAGGAAAAUGAGACCCAGAAGAGUCUGUCCUGAAAAGGAAGCUUUGAAAUUCAUCGCAUCUGGGAAAGAUAAAGACAUAUUUCAGAAAAAUGUUAUGAGUCAAGAGAAAGGUAUUUGAGUAAUAGCCAGCAGAAACAUUGAGGCAGGAGAACUCCUGCUUGAGUCUGCUGGAAGACACAUGACUGGAUCUGAAUGAGACGCUC